AUUGAACGCUGGCGGCAUGCUUUACACAUGCAAGUCGAACGGCAGCGCGGGCUUCGGCCUGGCGGCGAGUGGCGAACGGGUGAGUAAUGCAUCGGAACGUGCCCAGUAGUGGGGGAUAGCCCGGCGAAAGCCGGAUUAAUACCGCAUACGACCUGAUGGUGAAAGCGGGGGACCGAAAGGCCUCGCGCUAUUGGAGCGGCCGAUGUCGGAUUAGCUAGUUGGUUGGGUAAAGGCUUACCAAGGCGACGAUCCGUAGCUGGUCUGAGAGGACGACCAGCCACACUGGGACUGAGACACGGCCCAGACUCCUACGGGAGGCAGCAGUGGGGAAUUUUGGACAAUGGGGGCAACCCUGAUCCAGCCAUGCCGCGUGCGGGAAGAAGGCCUUCGGGUUGUAAAACGCUUUUGUUAGGGAAGAAAUCCUCUGGGCUAAUACCCCGGGGGGAUGACGGUACCGGAAGAAUAAGCACCGGCUAACUACGUG
rnacentral:rRNA from 1 species